GGCCAGACUCCUACGGGAGGCAGCAGUGGGGAAUAUUGCGCAAUGGGGGAAACCCUGACGCAGCAACGCCGCGUGAGUGAGGAAGUAUCUCGGUAUGUAAAGCUCUAUCAGCGGGGAAGAAAGAGGACGGUACCCGACUAAGAAGCCCCGGCUAACUACGUGCCAGCAGCCGCGGUAAUACGUAGGGGGCAAGCGUUAUCCGGAAUUACUGGGUGUAAAGGGAGCGUAGACGGUGAUGUAAGUCUGGAGUGAAAGGCGGGGGCCCAACCCCCGGACUGCUCUGGAAACUAUGUGACUGGAGUGCAGGAGAGGUGAGCGGAAUUCCUAGUGUAGCGGUGAAAUGCGUAGAUAUUAGGAGGAACACCAGUGGCGAAGGCGGCUCACUGGACUGUAACUGACGUUGAGGCUCGAAAGCGUGGGGAGCAAACAGGAUUAGAUACCCUGGUAGGA
rnacentral:rRNA from 1 species